rnacentral:tRNA from 1 species
CGGGGUGUAGCGCAGCUUGGUAGCGCGCCUGCUUUGGGAGCAGGAAGUCGCGAGUUCAAAUCUCGCCGCCCCGACCA